rnacentral:lncRNA from 13 species
GUUUAAUUGAAGAUAUUGGUACAUUAUGCAGACACAUAAAUACAAUGUGAUAUCAUACAAUAUAAACACAAUUCAAUUACAUGAUCAGCCUAACUACAUGGACAGAUGUUUGGUGUCUUGUAGUAUUUCUUCAACUUAGAGAAAAUAAUCCUUUAUUGUUUAUUCAUUAAGAUCAUGAUCCCACCCUGGACCAGGAGGACCCAGUCCUUGUUCAGGUAAGAAUACUGUAGGCCUAUCAAUAGUCUGGGUACCGGUCGGUUUCUGCUCUCUUGCCAAUUCCAUUGUGGCAAAAUGAUAUUUGCAUGACAAUCCCAUAAGAAGUUGUCAGAGAGCUGAAACCACCUGGCACCCAGGCUAUAACAAUACUGCUUCAUUAUCAGGACUGGUUCAAUAACAAUCUGACAUUCAAACUGUAAUUUUACUGACUUGAAAAUGGAUCCUGAUUUAUUCCUUAGGUUGUGGAUGAGGAGGUUGGGCACCGUCCCUGUCUGGCUUUAGUCCCUUGGUCUGGACCUCUGUGGGUUCCCAGCUCUGUAAGUCCAACAGUACUGAUACUCUCUUGUCUUCACUCUGGUCUAUAGACUGGUUUAUGUAACUUAAACACAGACAUGACGUUUUCUGAAGAACAAUAUGGGAAUACAUUUCUGUAAACAUAUUCCAUAUUUUUUACAACUACAGCUGACUUAUUACCUUACCCUUGCUGGGAGGAUGAUAGUGAGAGAGCUGGCAGUGUUAAACACACAGAUUUUCAUGAUGGAGCAGCCUAUUUCCAUCUGUUUCACUCCUGUAGGGAGGAUGGUGUGGGAGGAACUGACUUCUCAAACUGAACAGAUUUUCAUGAUGGAGCAGCCUAUUUCCAUCUGUUUCACUCCUGUAGGGAGGAUGGUGUGGGAGGAACUGACUUCUCAAACUGAACAGCCAAAUAGUGAAGACUCUGGUUUUCCCUUUGAGAAGAUGCAGCUGGUUGGGAACUGGGGUUCAUUUAAUUUCCAUACCUGGAUAAUCCGUUAUGGACGAGUGCAGGUACUUCAGACAUAUUCUUAACAUUUAUGAACACACCUGGGAGUGGAGAAACAGCUGUGGUGGAGCAGAGUCAUUCAGGAAAAAAUCCUGGACCCAUGGGUGAGAGAUUCUCAACUGAUCUUUCAUCUCAAAUGCACCUGAUUUGUGUCAAAUGAUGCACCAAAUAUAGGGCUACUAAUAUUUCCUGAAUGAAAUGUAAUUUUUCCAUGUGUCUCUUUGAAAGGGUAAUGUCCAGGUGGUCCUCACCAACAAGGAGAUGACUGGUAUUAAGGUACAGUCAAACACUCAUGGAAGAAAAUGGAAAGUGGCAAAUGUCCAUUUACCUAUUUAAAUAAAUGUUGACAAAAUGAAAUGAUACAUUUACAUUUCUAUCCUCAUUUUUAGUACCUUGGUAGAAGGAUCUAUGGACUCGGGUCUUGCCUCGUCAAGAUGAGGUCAGAGUUCACCUAUUAUGAGGACGCCCAGGUAUGCAUUGUUGUUUCUCUGUGGUAGGAUUUAUUUCAGUUUUUGGUUGAGGGGUUUUCAACAUUGUGGUUGGGCUGACGGUGUUGUUUGUUAAACAGCAGGUGGAUAUCUCCACCACAGUGGAGGGGUUCCAGGAGAGGGGGGAUGACAUGAUGACGUAUCAGUUCUCUACCUCUGACAUUAUCACCACCCCUCAUGAGCCGUCCUCUGGCUCCUCUCAGCAGUUCCCCCAGGAUUCUCCACCUCCCCCUCCGCCUCCCACGUUCCCUUCCCCUCCACCUUACCACUUCACCCAGGACCAGACCCCUGACAGCACUCCUCAGGUAAAACUCUUUCUACAGUCAAUAACCCUUUUUAUUUGUUUUCCUGACAUUUGUACUUGUGUGUACAGGUGUGUGUCUCAGUGGCAUUGUGUUCCAAGCACAGUGUUUUGGUUUCAACAGGUUUGUCAAGUUUUUAGGUCAGGAUGAAAGUAUUGUUAUGAUGUCACUGAAUGUUUUGUCCUCUUCAGUUGCAGGUGAAAUGCAGUUUAGUAUUUAUUUUAUUUACUUAUCUCUGUAAGUUAGUUAAGAACAUAUUCUUAACUGACUUACCUUGG